UACGGAGGGGGCUAGCGUUGUUCGGAAUUACUGGGCGUAAAGCGCGCGUAGGCGGACCAUCAAGUUGGGGGUGAAAUCCCGGGGCUCAACCCCGGAACUGCCUCCAAAACUACUAGUCUUGAGAUCGUGAGAGGUGAGUGGAAUUCCGAGUGUAGAGGUGAAAUUCGUAGAUAUUCGGAGGAACAUCAGUGGCGAAGGCGGCUCACUGGCACGAUACUGACGCUGAGGUACGAAAGUGUGGGGAGCAAACAGG
rnacentral:rRNA from 1 species